rnacentral:rRNA from 1 species
GGCAAUCCGUUGCAGGCCGCCGCGUGAGUGCAGAGGGUGUAAGGGGUAAUCGGCAUUAUUGGGCGUAAAGCGCGCGUAGGUGGUGCGUUAAGGUGGAUGUGAAAUCACCGGGCGCAACCUGGGAAUUGCAUCCAAAACUGGCGAGCUAGAGUAGGGCAGAGGGGGGUGGAAUUGCCUGUGUAGCGGUGAAAUGCGUAGAUAUAGGAAGGAACACCAGUGGCGAAGGCGACCACCUGGGCUCAUACUGACACUGAGGUGCGAAAGCGUGGGGAGCAAACAGGAUUAGAUACCCCUGUAGUC